GAUGAACGCUAGCUACAGGCUUAACACAUGCAAGUCGAGGGGUAACAAGAGGAAAGCUUGCUUUUCUUGUUGACGACCGGCGCACGGGUGAGUAACGCGUAUCCAACCUGCCUAUAACUAGGGAAUAACCUUGCGAAAGUAAGACUAAUACCCUAUGAUUUCCUUUGAUGACAUCAGAUUAGGAAUAAAGAUUUAUCGGUUAUAGAUGGGGAUGCGUCUGAUUAGCUUGUUGGCGGGGUAACGGCCCACCAAGGCAACGAUCAGUAGGGGUUCUGAGAGGAAGGUCCCCCACAUUGGCGCUGAGACACGGACCAAACUCCUACGGGAGGCAGCAGUGAGGAAUAUUGGUCAAUGGGCGGAAGCCUGAACCAGCCAAGUAGCGUGCAGGAUGACAGCCCUAUGGGUUGUAAACUGCUUGUAUACAGGAAUAAAGUUAGCCACGUGUGGUUAUUUGUAGGUACUGUAUGAAUAAGGACCGGCUAAUUCCGUGCCAGCCGCCGCAGUAA
rnacentral:rRNA from 1 species